AUUGAACGCUGGCGGCAGGCCUAACACAUGCAAGUCGAGCGGAUGAAGGGAGCUUGCUCCUGGAUUCAGCGGCGGACGGGUGAGUAAUGCCUAGGAAUCUGCCUGGUAGUGGGGGAUAACGUCCGGAAACGGGCGCUAAUACCGCAUACGUCCUGAGGGAGAAAGUGGGGGAUCUUCGGACCUCACGCUAUCAGAUGAGCCUAGGUCGGAUUAGCUAGUUGGUGGGGUAAAGGCCUACCAAGGCGACGAUCCGUAACUGGUCUGAGAGGAUGAUCAGUCACACUGGAGCUGAGACACGGUCCAGACUCCUACGGGAGGCAGCAGUGGGGAAUAUUGGACAAUGGGCGAAAGCCUGAUCCAGCCAUGCCGCGUGUGUGAAGAAGGUCUUCGGAUUGUAAAGCACUUUAAGUUGGGAGGAAGGGCAGUAAGUUAAGACCUUGCUGUUUUGACGUUACCAACAGAAUAAGCACCGGCUAACUUCGUG
rnacentral:rRNA from 1 species